rnacentral:lncRNA from 1 species
UUUUCUAUUACUUGCUGCACCUGAAAGCUUCCUGGAUGACAGAAUCUGUGAUAUAGACCCUAAAGUCUCUAUGUCACCUUCCCAUCAGCUGUCAGGAUGUUGAUGAACUCUGACAAGGUCAUCUUUAAGUGAGCACUUUGGGAGCCUUGGAGAUGUUAUAUAAAGUGUUAAAUAACUUACAGAUUAUUCAGCUCACCAUUGAAGGAUUGACCAGUCGUCUUAGAAAAGUAACUAAAAUCUGCUUGUAGUCAAAGGCCCAACUAUGCAAAAGUUGGGUGAUUGGAAAGUUGUUCCUUGUAUAUUUUCUGUCAAAUAUUUCAGAUUUAUAUUAAUAUAAAUUUCAAUUUAUGUUCAUUGUGACAUUAGCCUUGAGUAAAGCAAGCCUAGAAAGUGAUACAAUCCGUUCGCUAAACAUGUUGAAUCAAAAGGCAACAAGCUUCUUCCAUUAGGGAAUUCACAUCAACCUCUUGGUCCUACCCAGGUUCUAAAGUAGUUCAUAAAUAGACAAGAGGUAGGUGGAGCAUGAAAUACUAUCUUUAUUACUAAUAUGGCUGAAAUUAGAGAAUGAGGGUUAUAACUGUAAAAGAGGGCUUCCUUACACCAAACCCCAUCAUCAUACAGACAUACCCAUCCAGCCACAGACAGCACUGGACCCAAACUGUUUCUACAGCCUGCUCUUGCAAAACUUAGGGAAAUGGGGCUAAAUGCAUGCUUUCUGUGAGCAGCUUAUUCUCAAAGAGAAGAGAAAGUGCUACUCAUGCUCACUUCCUUGUUCCAAACUCAAUCAAGUAAUCCCACUCUAUCAAUCCGCUAGGAGACCGAACACAGAAAGUUUAACCAGGAGAAGCUUAACUAAUUAAGCUGUAACAGUGAAAGACAAUUGGCCCUCUGUACCUGUGGGUCCCACAUCCCUCGAUUUAACAAACUGCGAAUCAAAUUGCAAGGUGUUGAAUCUUCAGAUGCAGAAUCCUCAGUAAAAUCCAGGGGUACUGAGGACAGAUUGUGUUACUCCAUUUUACAUAAGAGACUUCAGCACCUGCAGAUUUUGUAUCCUCAUGGGGCUGGGGCAGGUUGGGGGAGACUUAGAACCAAUUCCUUGCUCAGGCAGAGGGAUGAUUGCACAUUAAGAGAACUCUCCACAGACCCCUAGGGCUGGGGCAGAGGACCCAAGGAAAAACAGACUUGGAAGAGGGUCCCCCUCUGACAUUCAUUCCUCUUUGGAGAAGGUGCUGUUGCAGACAACCACUGGAUAGAUGGUGAGAAAGUUUAGCUGGGUUGCCUGUGCCAUGACUGGUUUAGAAUCAUCUGAAAGGAGGGAAUGACCACCUGAACAUAGGCAAGCCAAGGCUGGUGGGUGGUCAGGCCAGGGACUGUGUGUGGUGGGGGCAGGGGAAUUGCUACAGCAUGCAGCCAGAAGCUUACGGUGUCCCUCUUAGGACUGCAGCAAGAUGAUCACUAGAAAUCCUGGGCUAGGGCUGCAAGGUAGUUGAAGGACUGUGCAUUCUGGGUGUGUAAGGGGAGGAUGAACUUGGGGCUGGGAAGCAGCAAGUUGAUAACUAGCUCGAUCAACCUUUGCCAACUCAAUUUUCAUGUGCACCAUUCUGUGUACAUUUCAAUGCCUGUACAACAAAAGUAACUAUUCUAGCAAGAAACAGCUAGCCUUCUGGUAAGUGAAGCUCUUGUCCUUCCCCUAAAUAAGACACAAAGCCCUAACAGUCAUGGAUUCCAUUGCUGCCUACAUUCAUUACUCCUCAAAUGGAGUCAUGGUCUCACUGAAUUAGUUAACUGAGAAGCUGACCUCUACCGACUUCUACAAGUUAAAAAUGGGAAGGACAAGGUUAGAAUCCAAAAAUUUAAGUAGACACAUACAUAUAACAAAACAUGCAAAGCCACCACAGCCCUGGUUUCUACAGCUGUUCAUGAGGUCAUAGUUGCUAUUUAUAGCUUUUCCUUUUCCUCACCUUGUUCUUAUUUUCCUUGCCCACAGCCAGAACCCACGGCUCUAGAUUCUUUACCUGGUGGAGUGAUCCAAUUCUUCCUUUCCAAAGGGUAUUACUCCUCAGUCAGCUUGCCUUUUUCUGGUUCUUGUCUGGGCUUUUCUUUGUCUUGAAUGACAUUUCUCUGUAGACCCAGCAAACGGUCAGUGAACAAAUUUCCUCUGCUCAGACUAGUGAGGAGAUGCAAAAUAUUCAGUAACAGCAUUUUUUUUUUUUUUUUGGCUGCAGCUGUGGCAAAUGGAAAUUCUCAGGCUAGGGAUCAAACCUGUGUUGCAGCUGAGACUUGCACCACAGCUGUAGCAAUGUUGGAUCCUUAACCUGGUGUGCUACAAAGAACUUGCCAGUAACAGCCUUCUGAGAUAAUACCACCCUGUCUGUGGGUUUUGCCCUGGCCUGCAGUACCAUACCACCUGCCAACCCUCAGCCCUCGGAGCCAGUGCUGAAUAUGGGAGAGGCAGUAUAACAGACCACAAGGUUAAUAUGAUGGUGGCUUUCUCCCGCAGAAGGCCUCAAUUAAUUACCUUAGUAGUUUUAAGUGGGGCCGUGGAAAAGACAGAUGAAAUGUCCAAGUCCCUUUCUAAUCUUAUUCCCGUGGGACUGCAAACCCCACCCAUUGGGGAUUUACCUGCCAGUCCCAGGGCUAUUAAUAUAUUCCCCUGUGGGUUAAUAGGAUAUUAUCAACAUAAUGAAAGAAAAAGUUAUUCCUCAUAGUAGACAGCAGCAUGAGGGUCCCACAAGCUAGCAGGCAGGCCCCUUGGGAUUAACCCUACAACCUUCUGCUCCCCCUCCUUAUUUCCUGACAUUUCAGUGCUCCCAGGAAUUUCCUUGACCCUCUGGUUGGCUUGACAAUUGUUUGCCCGCCCCCCACAGACCUACAAGCCUUGUGGUUGCCCAGCUUUGAGACAAAAGAGCCUGGAGACAUCAAUGACUUAUUAUACAGGAGAACUCACACAUUUGAAGUAGAUCCUGGAAUGACACCUUCACCAUACACGGCAGAGAGCAGGCAGGACGGGCAACAAUCUGCUACCCCAGGGCGAAGAGGUUGCCAUUUAUAGGGAUAAUUGACGUCAGGUCGAGUCAUCAAUUACCAGGGAGACCAGCAGCUAAGGCAGGGGGCAAGCAUGUACGCAGUUACUAAUUAAGCCCUAUAAUUAAGAGGAUUGGAUAGUCAUGUGAGUGAAUCAGGGCCUUGCUCAGUGGGUUAAGGAUCCGGCGUUGCCAUGAGCUGUGGUAUAGGUUGCAGACAUGGCUCAGAUCCUGAGUUGCUGAGGCUCCUGGCAUAGGAGGCAGCAACAGCUCUGAUUAGACCCCUAGUCUGGAAACUUCCAUAUACCGCAGGUGGG